CUGCCCAGCCACCACCUCCUCCGCCUCCACCGCCUUCUUAUCCGGCCAAAUAGUUCGGGCAAAGGAGCCUAAGAUCUCUCUUCCUGACCUGACCCACGGAAUUCACGGCGGCUAGGCCACCACCGAGGGCGAGGAAGCGGCGGGAGGAGGAGGAAGCUCCAAGAGGCGGCGUCCAAACCUCGUCGAAGGUGCCUCGAGGGGGACUCCGCCCCGCUCUCAAAACCCUUCGUUCUUCCGUCGCCUUCAGCUGGAGUAGGCCGGAGCAGAUCGACAUAAAUCUUAGCGACGAUCCCAAAGAAACCGUGGUGUCAAAUUUUCUUGUGGAGUGAGAUGUUACAGCUUAGCCGAAGAAAUGAGGAUAAGCGAAUCAUGAUUUGGCUUACCAAUGGAACUUCAGGAGGAAGAAGAAGAAGAAGAAAAAAACAUUCUGGUCCUUUCCCUUUUGGCAUGGGAGGUAUUGGAAAGAUUUACAAGUGUGUGUUAUUUGUGGAGAUAUUGGCUACUCGGAACAAAUAAUCACCUGUCAUCGAUGCAAAAUGAAUUCUGAACACACUUUUCAAUGGAAAGAGUUAAAAGAUGCUAAAAGCAGUAGCAACGGUCAAGGAUGUAACUUCACAGCUAGUUCUAUCAACCCUAGCUGAACAAAUAGAAAGUUCAAUGCCAAGGAAGUUCAAAAGAAAAACGCAAAGAUUUGACUUGGAAGAGAGAAUGGUUUUCGAACUGGACACUUACUGCAUUUGGAGAAACUCAUGGCUGUUAAAUUGCCAUUAAACAAUUUGAAUGCUACCCCUCAUAUCGAGUCAAGGUACAAGUUAUUGAAGAGGCAGUCUCAUGCUAUAAAUGAGAUGUUGAAUCAUAGCAGUGGAUUAGGGUGGAAUGAUGGUGAGAAGUGUUUCAUUACAACAAAGGAUGUCCUUGAUGAUUGAGUUAAGGAUUGUGAAAGUUGAUCUCAAGUUUCCCUCAAAGCCAACUAUUUCCCCUAGCGCAAAGGACCUUAUCAGCCAGAUGCUUGUCAAAGAUUCAUUGCAAGGGCUUCUUCCUCUUAACAAGCUGCUCGAGCAUCCAUGGAUAGUGUAAAAUACAUAUCCUUCUGGUGCAUAUCAAGGUUGAAUGCUGUACUCCUCCCUGAUGCCGGAUUCUAUUGUAUCAAAUUCAUGACCAUCAUUAAGAGGAUAGGCUAUGGUAGGAAGAAAAGGAUGACAAAAAGCUCAACCUCUAUCUCAGAUUCUUGGCAUUAAGCAAAAGGAUUGAGUUAGCAUGGGUCUAUUGAGAAAAUAAAUAAAAAAGCAAAUUUAGUUGAGUUCAAAUAGUUGAGAUAAAUAUGGUUAGUUUCAUAGUUAUCAUAAUCUGACGAUUCACGGUUUGGACCAUCUGAUUAGAUUUGAUCGGAUGAUUCAAACGAAGAGGGUUCUUCGCUGCUAUCUUCUUCCUUGUUGGGUGCUUUCAAUGAACAUCUUUGCAACUAUUGUUGGAUCGAUUUCUUCUCAAGGGUUGAACAUCUCUCAGGGCUGAGCUUCUGCCUCUUUCAUCGACUACAGAAUUCAUCCCAAACAGUUUUAAGAGGGCAAACCAUGCUCUCAUUCCCAACUCAUUAUAACCAUUAACAAACCUUGAAAUUGGUUUUUCGGAUAUUUAUUAUCUUUUAAGAAAUUGCAUAAGAAGAAAAAUGGAAAAGAAGGAGCAUCCAUUUGAAUGACAAAAAGGUAGAGGCCAACAUGUCAUGUAUUUGUGACAUGGAUUCUAUCCUAUUAGCCUUUAUAUUGUCAUAUUUGUCUGAUUGUUAUUGUAAGUUAACUUACUUAUUUAUGUUAUAAUUACCUAUUGUUAUCUAA